rnacentral:lncRNA from 1 species
UAGAAGUCUGUGCUUGUGCUUGCAAGGGACAAAAGUUAUCCAAAGAAAUUAAAGAAUAAAAUAAGUUAGAUUAAAAUAGUAGUUUUGUCAUACUGCAGUUUUUCUUUUAGCUGCAGCUACGCUCAUCUGGGUUUGUGUUUUUCGCAGUGUUGGUUACAUUCUCUCUCUCUCUCUCUCUCUCUCUCUCUCUCCGUUCUCUUCGCACUUCAACAUUUCGUUCAUGUACCUUCGAUUGGGAUGCUUUGAAUUGUUGCUAGGGUAAGAGAUCUUGAAUUCUUGAUGACAAGGUUUAUUUACUUGCUCUGGUUUUACAGUUAGUAAAUGUAUUUAAGACUUUGGUCAGUCUUGUGUGCCAAGAAAUUAGGUUUUCUUUCUCAGUGUGAUUUCUUGGCGGUGUCCCUUCAGAUAUGAUAAUAGGGAGUCAAUUGCGGAUAGCGGUUGACCCCAAAAACACUAUAGCAGGAUACUGGAUAUUGGGAUGACCCUGCAACUAAGGGAAAAAAUGUGAGUAAUUUAUAUCCUAAACAUAUAAAUACACAAAAAUAAACUUCAAAUAUACCAGAUUAUAUGUUAUACCCUACACAUAUAAAUAUAAAAAUACACCAAAAUACAUUUAAAUAUAAGUAAUUCAUACUCUAAGUUUUGAUCACAAAAAGAAACUCACAGAAGGAAGGGAAGGGAUAAACAAAAGGAAAGGAAGGGAAGUGGGAGGCAAAAUGAAAACAAAAAAGAUAGUAAGUAAUGUACAUUAAAAUCGGAAAGUGUUGAACGUGUAAAGAGGGAAAACAAAAAGAAAUUCAUAGAAGGAGGGGAAGGGGGAGAAUGGAAGGGGCAAAAGGGACUAGGGAGGAGAAGAAGGGAAGGAAGUGAAAUAUGUGUUUUCACGUGACUUUUUAAAGGAAGGAAAGGGAGGAGUGUUUUUUUAAAAAUAACCCUAAAAACCAAUGACAUGUAAUAAAAAAAUAAGGGGGAAAAUGACAUUUCCCAAUAAAAUUAGGGUUCUUCAUGCUGCAGUGGGUUUUGCCCAUGUCUCUGAUGCAACUCAACCCGAUAUGGGCGUGAUGGCCACCCGCACUGAUAUUCACCAUUCCGUCGCGGGGAAGGAUGGCAAUGUCCGCAACCUUUGCUAUUGCGUGCAAUUGACUACCUACAUAUGAUAUGUUGGGUAUAUGCUUAACUGUCCCACUUUCUUAAUCCUGGUGAACUUAUUUUAUGUAUGGGAGUUUUGAAUAGUGUCGAAGAGAGUAACUUAUUGUGGAAUUGAAAGGCAGAUAAUGCAAUGAAGAAGAACAUGUCCAUUCAUUGUUUGGUUGUUUAACUUGUUUUGCAAGGAUGGGAAGGGGAAUUCAUGCCAUUCCAUCUUUUCCUUGGGUGGCAAAAGAAGGGACUUGGGCUUCCCUUCCCAUUUCGCCCCUUCUUUACAAAAUCACUCCUAAUGACUAUUUUUGCAGUAUCUUAGUGUUCCAUAUCACAAGAGCAUAUUAUUUGAAUAGUUUAAGCAGAAUGGUAAUUCAAUUAACCAUCUAUUUAUGUGUUUUCUUGUUUUCCGUGGAUGAAAUUGUGGUUGUUCAAUUCUCUCUCUCAAACACAAUAAGACUUGCAUGUAAGAUAUAUGAUUCUCCAAGCAUGUUUCACAAGUUCUUUUAAUUGAUAAUCCUGUGCCAUUGACAUAAAGUGCAGUCCAUAUUAGAUCUUUGUUAUUUCUGCCAAUUGCAAGCUCAGUAGAUACUCACUUUCAUUUGCAUAUGGGGUAGCUCUGAUGACCCAAAACCUGUCUGUGGCAUCUGGCAGUAGGAAUUUCAAAAGGGAUACUAACCAUGCAAUCCCUAAAUUGUAUCCCAAUUAUGUAUUUCCGUUUCAAUUUCUACCGAGUAUUUUCCAGAUUCUAGUUUAUAAUUGCUUUUGAUUGCUGUCUGCAUACUAUCAGAUAUGGUAUGCAACAAGUUUGUUUCUGCCCUUGAUUAAUUUGAAAUUGUAAAGAAUAAUGCUAUAUUUCUGGUUGUGGAUUCAUGUCAUGCAGUAUAUUUGAUAAAUUAACAUUUCUCAAAUUAUAAAAAAUAAACAACAUUUCUCAUCCUGUUGAAUACUCACCAGGAUUCUAGGUUAUUGUUAAUCAUUAAUGCAGAUUCCGGAGUGUACAGAAGUCGUCAGGGGCCAACUGAGCACUUGAGAUAGUAUAAGCUAAGUGCUAGGGUAUGGAACAGUGGGGUGUUCGUGAUCGAGUCAUGUAUAUUAAUCAGGAUGAGGAACACGGAAGUCAACUUCCUUAUGAUAUUCUGAACGAAGAGGAAUCUAGUGAUGAAGAAGAAAAAACCAUUAAAACUGAAGCAGACUUUUUGCCAGAAACUAGGAAAAGGAAGUGUCGUAGCCUUAGUCAGCUUAGAGAGGUGAAAGAGGAAUCAUGUGAGAAGCGAAGUGUUAGG